UUUAAGUGAAGAGUUUGAUCCUGGCUCAGAGUGAACGCUGGCGGCAGGCCUAACACAUGCAAGUCGAACGGCAGCACAGUAAGAGCUUGCUCUUAUGGGUGGCGAGUGGCGGACGG
rnacentral:rRNA from 1 species